rnacentral:tRNA from 1 species
GCCUAUAGCUCAAUCGGCAGAGCAGCGGACUUUUAAUCCGCGGGUUCUGGGUUCGAUUCCCAGUGGGC